CAUACAUACAUACAUACAUUUAAUACACCGUAUUCUAAAUCUUUACCAUAAAUAAUAAAAUUUAAACAUAUAUGCAUUGCAAAUACGAUAAUAUUUUCUUUCAUAUUGUUUAUUUUAGGAUAAUUUGAUAUGUGAAUAAUAGAAUUUAAAAAUUAUUAGAUGACACAAACAGAUCAUAUUUAUCAAAUUAGAUUUUAAUAGUAAAAUAUUUAGUGCUCGAUAUUGAGCUCGUGGUGCGUGAGUUGUACAGUUACACCAAGUGUAGGCAAUAAUUUCCCGCCGCUGUUAACCGCCCCAUCAGCGUGGACCACGUGUGCGCUCAUAUCUUUGUCCCGUGAAAAGGAUAAGGACUCCACAAAUUAUAUUUUUUAUAUGUGGUUAAAAAUUUAGAAAUUGGAAUACAAAUAUUUUCGAAGGUGAUAUAUUGGUUCUUAAAUUUUAAUUUAUUAUAAUUUUUUGUUUUAAAUAUUUAGAUUUUUACAAUCAAGUCUCACAGUAUAAUUUAAAUGGUUGAAUACUUGAAUGGUGGUGUAUUGCUGAAGCAAUAGUACGUAAUAUGACAUUUUAGCUAUUGUCAACUCAUCGAUCACUAUAUUGCUACAUAACUGCCGCAACAGCAACACGUAAUCGUUCAAUCAAUGAUUUAAUUACAAUAAUCUAAAAAAAUUAAAUAAAAAAUUGUAAUAAAUUAAAAUUCGAAUAUCAAGAAUAUAAUUUAGCGGAUAAGUAAUUAUGUAUACAAAAGAUUCAGAGAUUCUUAUAUAUUGUU
rnacentral:lncRNA from 1 species